CUGGUUGAUCCUGCCAGUAGCAUAUGCUUGUCUCAACGAUUAAGCCAUGCAUGUCUACGCACGGCCGGUACAGUGAAACUGAAUGGCUCAUUAAAUCAGUUAUGGUUCCUUUGGUCGCUCGCUCCUCUCCUACUUGGUUAACUUGUAAUUCUAGAGCUAAUACAUGCUGACGGGUGCUGACCCCCUUCACGGGGGGGUUGCGUGCAUUUAUCAAAUCAAAACCAACGUGGUCAGGCUCCUCCCGGCCCUGGCUGGGGGGGCGGGUGCUGGUGGUUUUGGUGACUCUUAGAUAACCUUGGGCCGAUCGCACACCCCCCGUGGCGGUGAUGAACCAUUUGAAUGUCUGCCCUAUCAACUUUUGAUGGUAGUUGCUGUGCCUACCAUGGUGACCACGGGUGAUGGGGAAUCAGGGUUCGAUUCUGGAGAGGGAGCCUGAGAAACAGCUACCACAUCCAAGGAAGGAAGCAGGUGUGCAAAUUACCCACUCCCGACCUCGGGAGGAAGUGAUGAAAAACAAUGGACUCUUUUGAGGCCCUGUAAUUGGAAUGAGUCCAGUUUAAAUCCUUCCGUGGGGGUCCUUUGGAGGACAAGUCUGGUGCCAGGAGACGCGGUAAUUCCAGCUCCAAGAGCAUAUAUU
rnacentral:ncRNA from 1 species